rnacentral:rRNA from 1 species
UACGUAGGUGACAAGCGUUGUCCGGAUUUACUGGGCGUAAAGAGCGCGCAGGCGGUCGAUCAAGUCGAGUGUGAAAGCCCCCGGCUCAACUGGGGAGGGUCAUUCGAUACUGAUCGACUCGAAGGCAGGAGAGGGUAGUGGAAUUCCCGGUGUAGUGGUGAAAUGCGCAGAUAUCAGGAGGAACACCAAUGGCGAAGGCAGCUCGCUGGGACGUGACUGACGCUGAGACGCGAAAGCGUGGGGAGCAAACAGG